GGAGUUUGUUCUGCAGGUUUCAAGAUGACCACAUUACCACAAGCCAGGGCUGGAGCGAUUUUCACAGAUGCCAUGUUGAGAGGGAAGUUCCAUGGGGUGAUUGCACCCACUAGACCCACAGGCUCAUGUCGAGUGUACACAAACAGGGAUGGUCUUGCCCGUGACCUUAUCCGCCCAGCCAGCAUAGUAUCGAAAGCAAUUAGCACUUGACUGCAUAUCACCGACUGAGUCAGAGAAUAGCUUGCCACUGUCAAUGGUCUCAAGACUCUGAAAGAAAAAUUCACAAUGACGACACACAUUCCUAUAUAGUGAAGACUGAGAGAAGUAAGAAUGCCUAGAGAGUGAGAUAUGAGAGUGAAUUGUCAUUCUUCCUUCUCCAUUCAUUGAAGUGCCUCAUUAGAGGUUCUGUUGGUGCAAAUUUUCUGUUUUUUCUUGGUUUUGCAUUUUCAUUUCCUUCCAUUUUAUCCUUUGCCAUGAUUAACAUUGAUCAGAAAAUGUUUGGCUUGGUGACUAAAUAUAAAAAAUUGAGAAAGGAAUUAGUUCUUUACUCCAAUGUUUUAAUAGUGACAAUUGCAGAAAACUAUUGUGAUUCAUAUUCUAGCAGCCAACAAUGAGUACACAUUUUUAUGAAAAUUGAUUUUUCUGGAAUCACACAUAUAAAGGGAUCACACAAUUGCACACAUAAUGAUUAUGUAAGUAGCAAUGGUAGAACCUUAUUGUUUUUGGCAGCUAAACUUACAGCAAGGUAGGCAAUAUCCCUGUCAAUAAGCUGUGCUAAUUUGUACAGUAAUUUGCCUCUCAUGGAAGCAUCCAUUGUGCGCCAGGCACUGCCCAACUUAAAGGCCUCUUUGGCUGCUUUCACAGCUUUAUCGACAUCCUCCUACAACAAAAAUAGUAAUUGAGAAUUGAAUGACAUAUAUGAAACAAGCGGGUAAACCGACCAAAAAAAGGAAUCACAGACACAACAAAAAAUAUACAUAAAUUUCUAACCUUAUCUCCUUCUGAGAUGUCACAUAUCUUUUCUCCAGUUGUUGGAUUGAUUGUUGGAAAAACCUUACCGCUGGUGCAGUCAACAAACUCAUUGUUAAUAAACAGCUGCAAAGGUAAAAAAAAACAGUGAUUAGUUUGCAGACAGUGUAAAUUAUUGGGCAGGGUUGAAGCAGGGUAAAGUCAGAUGCGUUAAAACAUGCAUCACUAUUAAUUAGCUAUGCAGGUGGGGGUUGAUUUGAGGCUGACACUAAGGGUCAUUAAUUAUUGGGGAGGGCUGCUAAGUUGAAUUUUUUUUGGUUCAAAAAUUUGGACCCUCACCCCACCCUGGUUCCAGAGCCUCGUGUAUCUCUCUAUUUAGUGGCCAGUGAGGUGGCCACUGAAUAGAGACGCUCGAGGCUCUGGGACCAGGGUACCCUCUACCCAAUCUAAAGCACUAAAAUGGUGACUCUUAUGCAUGCCCAUGAAGGGGUGGCAGAACUGGCUAAGCCAGGAAGACUGUUGAUAGGAAGACUGUUGAUAGGAAGACUGUUGAUAGGAAGACUGUUGAUAGGAAGACUGUUGAUAGGAAGACUGUUGAUAGGAAGACUGUUGAUAGGAAGACUGUUGAUAGGACGACUGUUGAUAGGAAGACUGUUGAUAGGAAGACUGUUGAUAGGAAGACUGUUGAUAGGAAGACUGUUGAUAGGAAGACUGUUGAUAGGAAGACUGUUGAUAGGAAGACUGUUGAUAGGGAGACUGUUGAUAGGAAGACUGUUGAUAGGAAGACUGUUGAUAAGAAGACUGUUGAUAGGAAGACUGUUGAUAGGAAGACUGUUGAUUUUGAGCCCACAUUUCGGGGCUGUAGUUUUGUAUUGGGGGGUCUGGGGACAUGCUCCCCCAUAGAAAUUUUGCCAUUUUCAAACAUUUGGAAUGCUCAUUGUUAAAACCUAAAUAGAAAACAGUAUCAUUACCUCCUCCCCAACUGAAAUCUUAUUUGCAUAUCUUUUUUUAUAUCAUCAGUCUGAGAGGUUAGUGGGGGGGGGGGGGAACUUUGACAUGAAUGGAAUUUGUAAAUUCAUGUUAUUAUAAUAAAACCAUAACAAAACCAAAA